rnacentral:lncRNA from 1 species
AUCAGAUAUCAAACAUGUUUUCAAGAGGUAAAACAACACCAAGAACACCCCAGGACAAAGACUUCUCUCAUGUCUGGUCUCACUAAUCCUGUCUGUCAUGCUGGGCUAAGAGCAAGUAAUAGGGUCAAACCUACACACUUGUAGUGAAAUUGUUUUUAAGAUGCCAGGUAUUAGACAGUGAAAGAUGGGGAUCCCUAAGAGGUAGGCUACAAACAAGGGGAGCCAUGUAACUGCCCACAGUGUCUGCCUUCAUAGAAUUUCCAAGCAAAGGCAUACAAAAUUGAGAACCCAGGUGGUGUCUCUUCACUAAGCUAGAUCUCAGGGCAGGGCAGGGCAGGAGGCAGAUAGAAACUCUAGAUUUCUCAAGAGCAGAGGAUGCAAAGGAAUGUGUGGAGAAAUAUUUCUGGAGACUGCAUAGGCUCCUUUGAGCUUUAGCAGGGUCAGAGCACACUGGCAUGAAGCAGCUACUCAAGACCAGGUACAGAGUUACCAGGGUGACAGCUAGUGGCUCCCUGUGUCACACAGGAGGGAGUAUACUAUCAUCAGCACAAAUUCAUCAGUCUUAAAUGAAACAUGUUCCGUCCCACCUAGCUACAGUUAAAAAGCAAUACUUUAAAAGGGUUGCGUGAGUUGCUUCGGAGUAUCUUCACAAGAGCACCACAGAGUCCAAGGACAUUUGUAAGAAUUCCCAAACAUCCAGGGAUCAACAGCUUAAACUCUGCAGUAGCUAAAAUCUAAUCAGUUUACUGAGCUUGCAAAGAGGCAGAAAGGAUGAUCUGAAGUGAGGAGGAAAAGAUUGAAGCCAAGUAAAAACUGACACAAAGCAGCAGAGGAAGACUGUAAAACCAUGACCAUGCUGUUGAUGACCAAAGUAAGACAAACGCUAAAGGUAAAACGGCAUCUGAAGAAGAUUAGGAUGCUCAGAAGUAAAUAUUAGUAAGCUCACGCAUACAUCAGUGGAAGUAUAAAAAUAAAAAGCAUAUCAAAGAAACAAUUAAGUGAGCAUUAGAGAGUAACAAGAACAAGUAUAUGGAUAACUAAAACCAAAGAAGGGGCAAGGGAAAUAGUUAACAAAACUACUGUUAGUUUUUCCUAAUUUGAAUAAGAGCCACAAAGUUACAAGGCAUCAAAUUAUAAUAGUAGACUUACUAGCCAAUUCAAUAAGGCAAGAAAAAGAAGUUAUCGGCAUUGCAAAGG